GCCCAAUAGAGCAACCCUCCCACAAAUUUUAAUACACAACUAUAAAACUCUCAAAGCAUUCUUAUUCAAAUGAGAAGUAAGCCAAUAUAUCUGUAUUCAUUACUAUAAUAUUAUCAUGAGUUCCAAUCAAUGCAAUUUAA